rnacentral:rRNA from 1 species
AGCGGCGCAAGGGUGCGUAACACGUGGGUAAUCUGCCGUGAAGUCUGGGAUAACUUGCUGAAAGGCGAGCUAAUACCGGAUGUGACCACGGCAUCUAAAGUUGCGCUUCAUGAUGAACCCGCGGCCUAUCAGCUAGUUGGUGAGGUAACGGCCCACCAAGGCGAAGACGGGUAGCUGGUCUGAGAGGACGACCAGCCACACUGGAACUGAGACACGGUCCAGACACCUACGGGUGGCAGCAGUCGAGAAUUUUUCACAAUGGGCGAAAGCCUGAUGGAGCGACGCCGCGUGGGGGAUGAAUGGCUUCGGCCCGUAAACCCCUGUCAUUCGCGACAACUGAUAGUAGCGGACGAGGAAGGGACGGCUAACUCUGUGC